ACUCAAAUGAAUUGACGGGGGCCCGCACAAGCAGCGGAGCGUGUGGUUUAAUUCGAUGCAACGCGAAGAACCUCACCUAGGUUUGACAUGCUGGAAGUAGAACCCCGAAAGGGGAACGACCCGUAAAAUCGGGAGCCAGCACAGAUGCUGCAUGGCUGUCGUCAGCUCGUGCCGUGAGGUGUUGGGUUAAGUCCCGCAACGAGCGCAACCCUCGGCGCUAGUUACCAUGUCUAGCGCGACUGCCGGUACUAAACCGGAGGAAGGUGGGGAUGACGUCAAGUCAGCACGGCUCUUACGCCUAGGGCUACACACACGCUACAAUGGCCGGUACAGAGGGACGCCAAGGGGUGACCCGGAGCAAAUCCCAUCAAAGCCGGUCUCAGUUGGGAUUGCAGGCUGCAACUCGCCUGCAUGAACGAGGAGUUGCUAGUAACCGCAGGUCAGCACACUGCGGUGAAUACGUUCCCGGGCCUUGUACACACCGCCCGU
rnacentral:rRNA from 1 species